GAGAAAUGAAAAAAUACCAUUUGCUGAUGAAAAUGAUAGACAAGAUUCGAUAAAGCUGUGCUCAAUCAUCACAGGACUCUUCAGACGAUCUUAAGGAGCAAGGAGACUGUCUAAUUGGGAAUAAAUUGGAAGGAAUUGGUUCAGUAACAAAUGAGACAUUGGAUACAGUAAAAGGAAGUACAGAAGAUGAAAAUCUCAACCUAACAGAUGAACCACCAAAAAUCUCACUAAUUACAGAGUGCAUUGUAAACAGGCAAGAACUGCUGACAGUUGAACAACCGGCGAUCUCACCUCCCUUACUCUUAAAACCUUAUCUGCCAACACUGUGCCAUGAAAUCAACUUUGAUGUUCUGAAAUCUGGGGUAGCAUAUUUGAGUGGAGCCAGAGAUAGAUCUGGUCGUGGAGUGGUAAUAGUAACAACGAGGAAUACCGUUUGGCUGAAUCCACAUUGCAACAUACCUGAACUUGUGCGUCUCCUUGUCUACUUUUAUAGUCUUCCCAGACAAGAAACCCAGAGUGCAGGACUGACCAUUUUAGUGGAUGCACGGCGCUGCUCCCCUGUGUCAGCAUUAUUUAAAGCUUUCAAUAUCUUGCAGGUGAUGAAUUUUAAAUUUGCAAUUUGUUAAAUCUUGAAAA